UACGUAGGGGGCAAGCGUUGUCCGGAUUUAUUGGGCGUAAAGCGCUCGCAGGUGGCCCGAUGCGUCGUGCGUGAAAGACCCCGGCUCAACUGGGGGCGGUCGUGCGAUACGGUCGGGCUGGAGGCCAGUAGGGGGAUGCGGAAUUCCGGGUGUAGUGGUGGAAUGCGUAGAUAUGCGGAGGAACACCGAUGGCGAAGGCAAUCCCCUGGGCCUGCACUGACGCUCAUGCACGAAAGCGUGGGGAGCAAACAGG
rnacentral:rRNA from 1 species